rnacentral:tRNA from 3 species
UCGGGGUGUGGCUCAGCUUGGCUAGAGCGCCUGGUUUGGGACCAGGAGGUCGCAGGUUCAAAUCCUGUCACCCCGAU